rnacentral:rRNA from 1 species
CCUACGGGAGGCAGCAGUCGAGAAUCAUUCACAAUGGGGGAAACCCUGAUGGUGCGACGCCGCGUGGGGGAAUGAAGGUCUUCGGAUUGUAAACCCCUGUCAUGUGGGAGCAAAUUAAAAAGAUAGUACCACAAGAGGAAGAGACGGCUAACUCUGUGCCAGCAGCCGCGGUAAUACAGAGGUCUCAAGCGUUGUUCGGAAUCACUGGGCGUAAAGCGUGCGUAGGCUGUUUCGUAAGUCGUGUGUGAAAGGCGCGGGCUCAACCCGCGGACGGCACAUGAUACUGCGAGACUAGAGUAAUGGAGGGGGAAGCGGAAUGCUCGGUGUAGCAGUGAAAUGCGUAGAUAUCGAGAGGAACACUCGUGGCGAAGGCGGGUUCCUGGACAUUAACUGACGCUGAGGCACGAAGGCGUGGGGAGCGAACGGGAUUAGAUACCCUAGUAGUC